GGCGCCGUUGCUUAGUUGGUAAAGCGCCUGUUUAGUAAACAGGAGAUCAAGGGUUCGAAUCCCUCUGGUGCCU